AGCACCAGAGAAGAAGUCUACGCUGUUUGGUUGUCUUUGCUCUCCAUGUCUGCUCACCAGUUCUGCCUCAGAGUGUUUCAGUUCAUGAGGAGCUGAGUGCUGAGUGCUUGUCUACAGUGGAGUGGAGAUGGCAUUAGACAGAGACAUUCACAUGUAGUGUGUGACAUGUUAUCUGCUGAUGCACCUUUCUGACUUCAGACAGCUGUAAUUGACUCCACAUAAUAAACCAGAAUUAACAGCUCAAUAAUGGCAACUCGCCAUCGCUCGUUCUGGACAAGCUGCUCAAGUCGGGAGGAAGAGUGGAAGGAUUUGAGGGGCGAG